CGGGAUAGCUCAGUUGGUAGAGCAGAGGACUGAAAAUCCUCGUGUCACCC
rnacentral:tRNA from 1 species